CCUACGGGAGGCAGCAGUGAGGAAUAUUGGUCAAUGGACGAGAGUCUGAACCAGCCAAGUAGCGUGAAGGAUGACUGCCCUAUGGGUUGUAAACUUCUUUUAUAUGGGAAUAAAAUAUGGCACGUAUACUAUUUUGUAUGUACCAUAUGAAUAAGGAUCGGCUAACUCCGUGCCAGCAGCCGCGGUAAUACGGAGGAUCCGAGCGUUAUCCGGAUUUAUUGGGUUUAAAGGGAGCGUAGGUGGAUUGUUAAGUCAGUUGUGAAAGUUUGCGGCUCAACCGUAAAAUUGCAGUUGAAACUGGCAGUCUUGAGUACAGUAGAGGUGGGCGGAAUUCGUGGUGUAGCGGUGAAAUGCUUAGAUAUCACGAAGAACUCCGAUUGCGAAGGCAGCUCACUGGACUGCAACUGACACUGAGGCUCGAAAGUGUGGGUAUCAAACAGGAUUAGAUACCCUGGUAGUC
rnacentral:rRNA from 1 species